rnacentral:rRNA from 1 species
UUCCGGGGCGCGCGCCUACCCUUCGCUGGGCCGGGCGCGCCACCCGGUAUUCGUUUACUUUAGAAAAAAUUAGAGUGUUUAAAGCAGGCGUCGCCGCUCUGAAUACAUUAGCAUGGAAUAAUAGGAUAGGACUUGGGUUCUAUUUUGUUGGUUUCUAGGACCGAAGUAUGAUUGAUAGGGACAGUUGGGGGUGCUGGUAUUCAGCGGCCAGAGGUGAAAUUCUUGGAUUCGCUGAAGACCAACUUAUGCGAAAGCAUUCACCAAGGAUGUCUUCUUUAAUCAAGAACGAAAGUUGGGGGAUCGAAGACGAUCAGAUACCGUCGUAGUCUCAACCAUAAACUAUGCCAACUAGGGAUGGGCGAACGUUGCUUUUUCCGACUUCGUCCGCACCUUAUGAGAAAUCACAAGUGUUUGGGUUCCGGGG